UACGUAGGGGGCAAGCGUUGUCCGGAUUUAUUGGGCGUAAAGAGCUCGUAGGCGGCUUGGUAAGUCAGGUGUGAAAUCUCCACGCUCAACGUGGAGGGGCCACCCGAAACUGCCAUGGCUUGAGUCCGGUAGGGGAGUGUGGAAUUCCCGGUGUAGCGGUGAAAUGCGCAGAUAUCGGGAGGAACACCCGUAGCGAAGGCGGCACUCUGGGCCGGUACUGACGCUGAGGAGCGAAAGCGUGGGGAG
rnacentral:rRNA from 1 species